AUUGAACGCUGGCGGCAUGCCUUACACAUGCAAGUCGAACGGUAACGGGCCUUCGGGUGCCGACGAGUGGCGAACGGGUGAGUAAUACAUCGGAACGUGCCCGAUCGUGGGGGAUAACGAGGCGAAAGCUUUGCUAAUACCGCAUACGAUCUACGGAUGAAAGCAGGGGACCGCAAGGCCUUGCGCGGACGGAGCGGCCGAUGGCAGAUUAGGUAGUUGGUGGGAUAAAAGCUUACCAAGCCGACGAUCUGUAGCUGGUCUGAGAGGAUGAUCAGCCACACGGGGGGUGAGACGCGCCACAGACUCCUAGGGGAGGCGGAGGUGGGGAAUUUUGGAAAAGGGGGGCAAGCCUGAUCAGGCCAUCCGGCGUGCAGAAGGAGGGCCUGGGGGUUGAAAACUGUUUUUGAACGAAAGAAAACCCUUUUUUUAAAUACGGGGGGGUCAGGAGGGAACCGAAAGAAUGGGCCCGGCCAAACAAGGUG
rnacentral:rRNA from 1 species